rnacentral:rRNA from 1 species
CGGGACGGGUGAGUAAUGUAUGGGGAUCUGCCUGAUGGCGGGGGAUAACUACUGGAAACGGUAGCUAAUACCGCAUAAUGUCUACGGACCAAAGCGGGGGACCUCCGGGCCUCGCGCCAUCAGCUGAACCCAUAUGGGAUUAGCUUGUAGGUAAGGUAACGGCUUACCUAGGCGACGAUCCCUAGCUGGUCUGAGAGGAUGAUCAGCCACACUGGGACUGAGACACGGCCCAG